GAUGAACGCUGGCGGCGUGCUUAACACAUGCAAGUCGAACGAAGACAUCUGAGUGCUUGCACUUGGAUGGACUGAGUGGCGGACGGGUGAGUAACGCGUGGGUAACCUGCCUUAUACAGGGGGAUAACAGUUGGAAACGACUGCUAAUACCGCAUAAGCGCACGGUAUCGCAUGAUACAGUGUGAAAAACUCCGGUGGUGUGAGAUGGACCCGCGUCUGAUUAGCUAGUUGGCAGGGCAACGGCCUACCAAGGCGACGAUCAGUAGCCGACCUGAGAGGGUGACCGGCACAUUGGGACUGAGACACGGGCCCAAAACUCCUACGGGAGGCAGCAGUGGGGAAUAUUGGCACAAUGGGGGAAACCCUGAUGCAGCGACGCCGCGUGAGCGAAGAAGUAUUCGGUAUGUAAAGCUCUAUCAGCAGGGAAGAAGAAAUGACGGUACCUGACUAAGAAGCAACC
rnacentral:rRNA from 1 species